GACGGUUGUUGCGCACGUAUUCGGUGAACGCACUAUGGCGACGCUGGGGCGUCUUAUGAGCCUGCUGUCACCCUUUGACGUGGUGAUAUGGAUG
rnacentral:rRNA from 1 species